rnacentral:rRNA from 1 species
CAGUCGCCACGGUAAAACGGAGGGUGCAAGCGUUAAUCGGAAUUACUGGGCGUAAAGCGCACGCAGGCGGUCUGACAAGUCAGAUGUGAAAUCCCCGGGCUUAACCUGGGAACUGCAUUUGAAACUGUCAGGCUGGAUUCUUGUAGAGGGGGGUGGAAUUCCAGGUGUAGCGGUGAAAUGCGUAGAGAUCUGGAGGAAUACCGGUGGCGAAGGCGGCCCCCUGGACAAAGACUGACGCUCAGGUGCGAAAGCGUGGGGAGCAAACAGGAUUAGAUACCCGCGUAGUCCCUGUCUCUUAUAC